rnacentral:rRNA from 1 species
GACGUAGGGCGCGAGCGUUGUCCGGAUUUAUUGGGCGUAAAGAGCGUGUAGGCGGCCAGGUAGGUGGGUUGUGAAAACUGGAGGCUCAACCUUCAGACGUCGACCCAAACCCCCUGGCUAGAGUCCGGAAGAGGAGAGUGGAAUUCCUGGUGUAGCGGUGAAAUGCGCAGAUAUCAGGAGGAACACCGAUGGCGAAGGCAGGUCUCUGGGCAUUAACUGACGUGAGGAGCGAAAGCAUGGGGAGCGAACAGG